rnacentral:rRNA from 1 species
CCUACGGGAGGCUGCAGUGGGGAAUAUUGGGCAAUGGGCGCAAGCCUGACCCAGCACCGCCGCGUGAAGGAAGAAGGCUUUCGGGUUGUAAACUUCUUUUCUCAGGGACGAAGAAAGUGACGGUACCUGAGGAAUAAGCCACGGCUAACUACGUACCAGCAGCCGCGGUAAUACGUAGGUGGCAAGCGUUAUCCGGAUUGAUUGGGUGUAAAGGUCGUGUAGGCGGGAGCGCAAGUCAGAUGUGAAAACUCAGGGCUCAACCCUGAGCCUGCAUUUGAAACUGUGUUUCUUGAGUGCUGGAGAGGCAAUCGGAAUUCCGUGUGUAGCGGUGAAAUGCGUAGAGAUACGGAGGAACACCGGUGGCGAAGGCGGAUUGCUGGACAGUAACUGACGCUGAGGCGCGAAAGCGUGGGGAGCAAACAGGAUUAGAUACCCCAGUAGUC